AUUGAACGCUAGCGGGAUGCCUUACACAUGCAAGUCGAACGAGUGGCGGACGGGUGAGUAAUAUAGCGGAAAGUGCCCAGUAGCGGGGGAUAACUACUCGAAAGAGUGGCUAAUACCGCAUACUAUUGGAGCGGCCCAGAUCGGAUUAGCUAGUUGGGGGGGUAACGGCUCACCAAGGCAACGAUCCGUAGCUGGUUGUCGAGGACGACCAGCCACACUGGAACUGAGACACGGCCCAGACUCCUACGGGAGGCAGCAGUGGGGAAUUUUGGACAAUGGGGGAACCCCUGAUCCAGCCAUCCCGCGUGUAUGAGAAGGCCUUCGGGUGGUAAAGUACUUUUGGCAGAGAAGCGGUAUCUGCAGAAUAAGCACCGGCUAACUACGUGCCAGCAGCCGCGGUAAUAC
rnacentral:rRNA from 1 species